CACCAGACUGAUGACUGCUCAGCCUCCAGCUGGGUCAAUUAACAAGCAGCUUCAACUGAUUAAAACCCCACCUGGAGCUCAGCUGACACUCACUGGCUGAGAGGAGACAAUGGAGAAAGCUUCUGUCAUUAAAGAUAUGAAAAGCUUUGAGUGUUCGUCUCCAUCAGAGCUUGACAGGAAGUUUUUUGAGGAACAGAGUUUGCUGUCUGCUUUGUCGCUUGAACAACUGUCCACAUCAAGGGCUUCAAAUGACACGGUAGCUGAUGGGUCUGACACCAGGCUGUCCAUCCUGGCUUCUCUAUGCCUGCCGUCUGACCCCAUUUCUCCCCUUCAGGCCUUUUCAAUGAGCAGCUUGAACACUCAGGAGCCGGACAAUUGUCACCUGACUGUGCCUUUACAUGGGAAGUCCUCCACUCCCCACAUGCUCCUUCAAAAGCAGAAACAGGCUGCCUGUUUUGACCAGAUGUACAGUGAUCUCGCUGGCUCUCAAAUGUCAUGGGAUGUGUCUUUGAUUAAACCGGAGAGUAACAGCCCCAAACCCUACAUGGAGUUCAGCUCACUAGAGCAAACCUGGAGUCCAAAACCCCAGUUUACACUAGAGUCUACACAACAGUCACCAGCUGAAGUUUCUCCCUGAGGUGGCCUAGAAUGUCUCUCUACACACACCCAACAUGGAGAGGUUUGGAAGGAAGAAAUCUGGGGUGUUCAGCCGUGAUUGCCUACCUCUGCACCCACCAUGCAUCAAGGAUGGAUCAUUGUGAAUUGUUCAUGUGAUGGACCCAUCUGUGAGGAUUAAUGCAGAGAGCUUUGUAUGCCUCAACAAUGUUUUUAAAGAUGUGGAAUAUUUAAAUAAAAGUAUCAGUGACUUUA